GAUGAACGCUGGCGGCGUGCCUAAUACACGCAAGUCGAGCGAAUGGAUUGAGAGCUUGCUCUUAUGAAGUUAGCGGCGGACGGGUGAGUAACACGUGGGUAACCUGCCCAUAAGACUGGGAUAACUCCGGGAAACCGGGGCUAAUACCGGAUAAAAUUUUGAACCGCAUGGUUCGAAAUUGAAAGGCGGCUUCGGCUGUCACCUAUGGAUGGACCCGCGUCGCAUUAGCUAGUUGGUGAGGUAACGGCUCACCAAGGCAACGAUGCGUAGCCGACCUGAGAGGGUGAUCGGCCACACUGGGACUGAGACACGGCCCAGACUCCUACGGGAGGCAGCAGUAGGGAAUCUUCCGCAAUGGACGAAAGUCUGACGGAGCAACGCCGCGUGAGUGAUGAAGGCUUUCGGGUCGUAAAACUCUGUUGUUAGGGAAGAACAAGUGCUAGUUGAAUAAGCUGGCACCUUGACGGUACCUAACCAGAAAGCCACGGCUAACUACGUGCCAGCCGCCGCAGUAA
rnacentral:rRNA from 1 species